AACGAACGCUGGCGGCAUGCCUAACACAUGCAAGUCGAACGAGACCUUCGGGUCUAGUUGCGCACGGGUGCGUAACGCGUGGGAACCUUCCCUUAGGUUCGGAAUAACUUCCCGAAAGGGGUGCUAAUACCGGAUAAUUUCUUCGGACCAAAGAUUUAUCGCCUUUGGAUGGGCCCGCGUUGGAUUAGCUAGUUGGUAGGGUAAAAGCCUACCAAGGCGAAGUUCCAUAGCUGGUCUGAGAAGAUGACCAGACACACUGGGACUGAGACACGGCCCAGACGCUCACGGAAGGAAGCAGUUGGGAAUAUUGGACGAUGGGCGAAAGCCUGAUCCAGCCAUGUCGCGUGAGUGAUGAAGGCGUUAGGGUUGUAAAGCUCUUUUAACCGGGAUGAUAAUGACAGUACCGGGAGAAUAAGCGCCGGCUAACUCCGUG
rnacentral:rRNA from 1 species